rnacentral:rRNA from 1 species
GAUGAACGCUGGCGGCGCGCCUAACACAUGCAAGUCGAACGAUUAAAGCACCUUCGGGUGUGUAUAAAGUGGCGAACGGCUGAGUAACACGUGGGCAACCUGCCCCUUUCAUUGGGAUAGCCACGGGAAACCGUGGAUAAUACCGAAUACUUCGAGACUUCCGCAUGGAAGACUCGAGAAAGCUCCGGCGGAGUGGGAUGGGCCCGCGGCCUGUUAGCUUGUUGGUGGGGUAACGGCCUACCAAGGCAAUGAUGGGUAGCUGGGUUGAGAGACCGACCAGCCAGAUUGGGACUGAGACACGGCCCAGACUCCUACGGGAGGCAGCAGUGGGGAAUCUUGCACAAUGGGCGAGAGCCUGAUGCAGCGACGCCGCGUGCGGGAUGAAGGCCUUCGGGUUGUAAACCGCUUUCAGCAGGGACGAGGCGAAAGUGACGGUACCUGCAGAAGAAGCCCCGGCUAACUACGUG